rnacentral:lncRNA from 1 species
GUCCAGGACUUCCUGUAUAAAGCAGGCAUCCUCUAACUUGAUAAAUAGGAGACUGGAACAAAAUUAAAAGGAAACAACAUCUGCUGGAAAGAGGAAUUAUUUAUUACUCUAAUUUCUUGCCAACAUUGAACUCUGAGGAAAUCCACUAAACGGAGAAAGCGAGCCAAUCCAGGAUUACAGUUUAGUAAUCCCCUGAAGAAAAAAUGGGGGAACACUAUGAAGAAAAGAUACAAAGAAGGUGGUUCAUGACACUUGUGAUCUAGCUCUCGAGACCAGCUACUGGGUGAAUGUCGGGACUCUCAAGAACUGAACUGGCCUCUGUGUCAACCAUAUGCUUCUUCUUCCAGGACAUAGAAAAGAAAGCUGACAAAAUCGAAACCUCGCAUGAAGUACUGUUUUUUUUUUUAAAUGUCAGCAUCCGCUUUGAUGAAUCUAAAGAAGAAGGAAGCUUGUAUUUAAGGAAUUUCCAGAAAAAAAAUGGAAAAAACCAAUAUGGAUACAAAAGGUUUAGGCUAAGGGUGACCAAGCAGCAAAGGGAAGAUAGACUGCGGGAAGGCACUUCAGUCCUGCUUUUGCAUCUUACAGGGCUCUGGGCAUUCAUUACCCGCUCCACAGCUACUGACAAUCUGCAGCAACAACACAGGCCUCCUGGAGUAGCUAUCAGGAGUGUCCCGUAACAGUUCCUAUCACGCACUGCUGGACCAAAGAGAUGAAUCAAGCAGGUGUGGAAUGACCAUGCCUUUCUGGUUUUAUUCCCCUACGUCUUCCCCUUUCAAACCUCAGGACAGGUGGAUCACAAUAAGACUUCCUCUCCCCAAUUUCACUUCGUUGUAAGAGUUUCAAGGCCAGUCUCUGAAGAGAUGCUCUCUUCAGAGACUAGUCAGUGAGUCUGUGGUAUUCAGGCUGUCCCUGUGGUUGAACUCCCCUGCUCUUUUUUUUUUUUUUUAAGUCACCUAGAGCGACACAGAUUGGGGACUAGAGCCAGUACAUGUUAGCAGACAGUACAUGUUAGCAGACAGACUAGCUGAUAGUCCCAGGAAUAUAUAAGCCCCCUCCCCCACAAUAAUGAUAAUAACUAGCUUCCCAGAGUUCAUGAAUGAUAGAUCAUGAAACAUUAUUCACCACACAAAUUAGAAGUAUGGGGACAAAUAAGUCAAGAAUUUAAAAGAAGCACACUAGGCACACUCCAGAUCUUCACAGAGAUCAGGGGGUGGUAUUUGUUUCCCAUUGCUGCUGUAAUAGCAAUUGAAUUGCAAGUAAAAUGCCAGUGAUCUUUGUGACUGAAAACAGCAUGUAUUUAUUCUCUCGAAAAUACCACAGGUCAGAAUCAGAAUGAGUCUUAUGGGGUUAAAAAUGGAGGUGUCAGCAGGGAUAGUUCCUUCUAGAGGAACGAAAGGAGAAGCUAUUGCUUUUUUUCCCAGUUUCUGGAGGCCACUUACAUUCCGUGGACUUAGGUUCCUUCUUCUCUCCAUUUUCAAAGCUAGCAGGGAAGCAUCUUCUCUCUUCUCUAACCUCCUACUUCCUUCAUAUAUAUGAGAAAUCUUGUGAUUUCUGGGUAAUCCAAGACAAUGUAAUAUCCCCAUGUCAAGAUAUUUAAGUCAACCACACCUGCAAACUUCCUGUGGCCAUGGAAUAGUGUCCUCUACCCAGAUGUUCUGACCCUAACCCCCAGUACCUGUGAAGAUGACUUUAUUUGAAAGUAGGAUCUUUUCAGAUAUGAUCAAGUUAAGAUGAGGUCAUACUGGAUUAGAGUCAGCCUUAAUCCUGUGACCAAUGUCCUUGUAAGAUGAAGGAAAUUUUAAUAUAGACACAGACACACAGGGGGAAUGCCACUUGAUCACAUAGGUAAAUUAGAAUGAUGUGUCUUGAAGCCAAAGAAUUUCAAGGAUCACAGGCAACACCAGAAACUAAAAGAAAGAUGUGGGACAGACUCUCUCCUUGAGCCUGCGGAGGGAACAUGCCCUACCAGCACCUUGAUUUUAGAUAUCUAGCCUCCAGAACUGUGAGAAAAUACUUUUCCGUUGUUUUAAGCCACCCAGGUUGUGCUACUUUGUUAUGGAAGCCUGAGGAAAUUAAUACACCUUGUAAGAGAAUAUAGUCACAGGUUCUAGGGACUGGGAUAUGGACAUCAUUAGGAGAGCCAACAUUCAGCCUACCACAGGAGUAUGUUAGUAACACAAAUUAACAAUGACAAAACCAAAAAGAACCAAGUAGGAAUAUUAGAAAUGAAAAAGAGUUAUAUAAAGAACUCAUUAGAUGCAAUAAAUAGUGGGAUAACCAGAGCCAAAGAAAGACUUUGUGAGCCUGAGAAGACUGGGCUCAGGAAAUCUUUCAGAAGGGGAGUAAACAAUGAAGGAAAAGAAUCUAGAGAAUAGAACUAGGAGUCCCCAUAUUUGGAUAACAGGAUAUCCCAGAAGAGGCAGAAGGAACAGAGAGGGCAAAAUAAUUAUAAAUAUUUCAACAUUGAAGAAAGAUGUAAGAUUUCAGAUUAAAAGGACUCAAAGUUGCCAUACAGAAUAGAUGAAGAAAAACCCAUGCUUUAGACACAUGAUAUCAAAAGUUAACUCUAUUAAUACAGAGAGAAAAUUCUAAAAGGCGAUAGAGAAAGAAUAGAAAUCUGAAGGAAAGGAGAAAAAGAUACUUGGGGAAAGUACAAUCUCUGGAAAAUAUGAGAAAGUCCCAAUAUAAUAAUUUUAAUAAAUAUAAAUUGCUCAUCUCACCAGUUAAAAGAUUGAAGCUUAGAGGAUAUUUUAAAAAAUAAAACACAAAAAAUCAACAGUGCACUGUUUAGAUUCAGUUCAGGUAAAAGGAAACAGGAGAUUUGAAAAUAAAAGGAUACAAACUCAUAUUGGCCACUGCAAACCAAACGAGAGUGGCCAUCUUAAUAUCUGACUCUUAAUAUUAAAGUGUUAAUAUUUGAUACAUCAAAGCAAAAAAUGUUAUAUAGGAAAAAGGGUGAUGGUGAUAUAUACUGGUAAAAUAAUAGAGCCAGGAGAUAUAAGGAGCAUGACUACACAUGCUUUAACAAGAUAGCCUCAAAGGAUACAAAGCUGAAAUGGCAUAGUGGUAGAGGGAAAUAGACUUACUAAUAUAUGUUGCAAGAGAUUUUAACAUACUUUCCUCAGAAACUGAUAAAUAAAUCAGACAAACAUUAACAGAGACAAAAAAGUAAUAUAAUAAAGAAGCUUGAACUAUAUAUAUAUAUAUAUAUAUAUAUAUAUAUAUAUAUAUAUGAGUCUGUAUGUGUGUGUGUGUUCCUUACAUGGAAAAUUUACUAGACCAUAAAGGCAGUCUUAAAUUCCAAAGAAUCAAUAUCAUAUAGGCUAUGUCCUCUGACCAUAACCAAUUAAUGCUAGAAAUUUUUAAAAAAGAGAGAAGCAUAGUUUAUGUAACCCUAAAUGUCAGGUUUUACAUUAAUAAAUAAUCCUGGAGUGAAAAGGGGACCAAGAGGGGAAUUGUGAAGUUCUAGGACUUAACGAUAAAAUCUCACAAGUUGCUGUUUAUAAGACAUGGCUAGCAUGGUCCUUUCCAGAAGUGUAUAGUUUCAAAUAAAUUUACCAGGACACAAAAGUUUGAAAAUGUUGAAAAUGUAGCAGAGCAAAUACAAAGAAACCAGCCAAAGAAACAAGGAAGAAGAAUGAAUGACAAUAAAAAAGAAAUUUUUAAAAUAAAGAAUUACAAAUAUUAAAAAUGUCAACAAAACUAAAGGUCUUCAGGAAACCAAGCAAGAAAAAGUAAAAAGAAACAAACAAAACAAACAAACAAAAACAGAAACUGCAAUGAAAAAGAAAAAUAGUUGCAGAUAUAAUAGAUUUUAAAUAAAGAAUAUUAUGAGUAACUAUGUCAGAAUAUACUUGAUAACUUAAUGAGAUCUUAGUCAUAAACUAUUUGGAAAAAUAAAAAAUGCCCAAACUAGGAAAAUUGAAUAGGUCAAAAGCACUGGAGACUUUAAAUGGUCAAAAAAGACCUCCCUGCCAUCUAAACUUUAUAGCCCUUGGUCUGUUUCACGCAGAAUUUCUACCAAAUUUUCAAGGAAAAUUUCUACUAAUUUUUUCCCAGAAAAGAAGCGCUAUAUGCUUAUUUAAUGAGAUUAGUGCAAUCUUGAUUCCAAUGUCAGAUAAAGGCAAUAAAAAAAUGAUAAACCAGUUUCACUUGUGGAUGCAUGGUUUAGUAUUCUAAAUUAAAUAUUAGUUGAAAUGAAACAUUUGCUUCUUAAACAAUAAUUCAUUGCUCAGAUCAAGUUCAUCCCAGGAAUGCAUAGGAGUCUCAAUAUAAGAAAAUAUGUCAAGAGAAUUCACCAUAUUAAUCGACAAAAAAAGUGACUAUUUAAAUUGAUCCAGAAAAGGCAUUUGAGAAAAGGAAACACCUGUUUGUUAAAUAAUAUGCAUCAGAAUAUAUUAAAAGCUAGAGGAGCUAUGCUAAUAUAAUAUGUUCUAAGAAUCUAGGACAGGCUUAGAGUUUUGUUAAUGGCUUGGUCCCAUCAUUUAAUUCACUGUACUUUUUAUUGAAGUUGUUCUUCCAUUCCCAGAGGUCCAUUAAGGAAGACAGUAAGAAUUUUGCUGAAGCAUAAAAUGACUGGGCAGAAAAUGGUCAAAACAGAGGAUGGGUUUUAGCUGCAGCUUUUCAAAUAGCCUAGGACAGAGUGGAAUGAGAACCAGGGAAAUCAAUACAAAGAUGGCUGAGAGCCAAGCUAUAGAACAUGAGUUGCUAGCCCAAGUUUACUCAUUCACUUCCUAAAUAAUAACUUUUAAUUUUUUGCUCUUAUAAAAAUAGUAGAACUUUUGGGAAAAAAAANNNNNNNNNNNNNNNNNNNNNNN